AGUAACCGUUCAUACACCAUUUGGGGUGCAGGAUUAUGGGGCUUUGUUUUGUCUCAAAAGGGGGAGUAGCUAGUGUGUCUAUAAUUUGAUUUGCCUGCUUUGAGUAGCUGCUCA